ACGCACGCUGGCGGCGUGCUUCACCCCUGCCAGUCGCACGGAAAGGCCCUGCUUUUGUGGGGUGCUCGAGUGGCGAACGGGUGAGUAACACGUGAGUAACCUGCCCUUGACUUUGGGAUAACUUCAGGAAACUGGGGCUAAUACCGGAUAGGAGCUCCUGCUGCAUGGUGGGGGUUGGAAAGUUUCGGCGGUUGGGGAUGGACUCGUGGCUUAUCAGCUUGUUGGUGGGGUAGUGGCUUACCAAGGCUUUGACGGGUAGCCGGCCUGAGAGGGUGACCGGCCACAUUGGGACUGAGAUACGGCCCAGACUCCUACGGGAGGCAGCAGUGGGGAAUAUUGCACAAUGGGCGGAAGCCUGAUGCAGCAACGCCGCGUGCGGGAUGACGGCCUUCGGGUUGUAAACCGCUUUCGCCUGUGACGAAGCGUGAGUGACGGUAAUGGGUAAAGAAGCACCGGCUAACUACGUG
rnacentral:rRNA from 1 species